UGAUUCAAUUCCGCUGAUACAGUGAUGG
rnacentral:piRNA from 1 species